rnacentral:rRNA from 1 species
UACGAAGGGGGCUAGCGUUGUUCGGAAUCACUGGGCGUAAAGCGCACGUAGGCGGAUCUUUAAGUCAGGGGUGAAAUCCCGAGGCUCAACCUCGGAACUGCCUUUGAUACUGGGGAUCUCGAGUCCGGGAGAGGUGAGUGGAACUGCGAGUGUAGAGGUGAAAUUCGUAGAUAUUCGCAAGAACACCAGUGGCGAAGGCGGCUCACUGGCCCGGUACUGACGCUGAGGUGCGAAAGCG